rnacentral:rRNA from 1 species
AACGAACGCUGGCGGCAUGCCUAACACAUGCAAGUCGAACGAGACCUUCGGGUCUAGUGACGCACGGGUGCGUAACGCGUGGGAACCUGCCCUUAGGUUCGGAAUAACUCCCCGAAAGGGGUGCUAAUACCGGAUAAUGUCUUCGGACCAAAGAUUUAUCGCCUUUGGAUGGGCCCGCGUUGGAUUAGCUAGUUGGUAGGGUAAAAGCCUACCAAGGCGACGAUCCAUAGCUGGUCUGAGAGGAUGAUCAGCCACACUGGGACUGAGACACGGCCCAGACUCCUACGGGAGGCAGCAGUGGGGAAUAUUGGACAAUGGGCGAAAGCCUGAUCCAGCAAUGCCGCGUGAGUGAUGAAGGCCUUAGGGUUGUAAAGCUCUUUUACCCGGGAUGAUAAUGACAGUACCGGGAGAAUAAGCUCCGGCUAACUCCGUG